GGCCGGGCAGCGCGAGCGCAAGGGACAGGGAGGGUCGUGGCGACACUCGCGCCAGCUCCCGGGACGGCUGGGCUCGGGCUGGUCGCCGACCUCCGACCCUCCACUAGAUGCCUGGCAGAGCCCGGCGCGUCCGGAGCCCGCGCCCCUCAGAGGGAAGGGGUCGCGCGUCGCCGCGGCGGCCCUGAGGCUGACGGUCGGGAGGUGAAAGGCCGGAGUGCGGGGUCAGGACGCCUCCUGGAGGGGGCGCGGCGCAGGGGGCCGCGGGGAAGCCGCCGAGGGCGCGGAGCGGGAAGGAAGGACAGUGGCCACCCCGCCUCCGCCUGGGCACGGGGCAGGGACCCGCGCGAGGCGGUGCCGGGGAGGUCCUCACGUACUCAAAAACAAGCAGAAAAGGCAUCCAGGGCCCCUUCCCGAACUCCCCACGGGCUGCCAGGGUGCAGAGAAGAAGCGCCUGAGGAGGAAGUGCCACACAAUGGGAGAGAACAAAGGGGAGCGGAGCGAGACCGCGGCCUGCGCCCGCCCCCCGCUUGCGCACAGUCCCCGCCCCGCCCCGCGGGCGCCGCCGCCGCCGCCCUCCCUCCCGCGCCUCCUUCUGACCCCGAGCGAGAGACCUGGUCGGGAGUCCGGCGGCUAGAGUUGAUUGCAAGGGGCCUGUUGCUCGACUGUGCGUUAAAGAGGCUAGAGGGAGCCUAGGUAGACGUGGGGCGCAAGCUGGAGCCGGCAGCUUGCGAGGGGGCCUUUACGUGAUGAGGCUCACCAUGGGGUCUCCAGCGAGGUGUCUGCAGAGCUUCGAUGGUGAGAGGAGGAACUCGAUUUCUCGUUUUCUGGAGUUGGGAUGUAGACAUAGAGAGAUCUGUUACAUCUGAGAUGAAAACCCUGCACAAUUCACGUUAGGGUUGGCCAAUUGUUUGCUUGACCUUAAAUGGUUAGUGUGGUUUAAGCUUCCCCAAAAUGCGCUGUGAGCUGAGCUUCCACUUUUGGAAUGAUUGCAGAAUUCGGUGCUUAAGAGAUGAGAAACUUCGUUCUACCAGUAAUGGAAGAAACGCUUCACCUUAAUCACCCUCCUUGUCUUUCCCCUCCCUUUGACUAUGUAGGACUCGAUAACACAACAUUUGAAAGAUUCUACUCUAUGAAAUAAGCACAGAUUGAAAUUCAGUAUUUGCCAAGGAAUAUUAAACAUGAAUUACUGGGAUUGAGGAAAGCCUGAUUUAUUUACUUGUUAGUGUCUGGAAUUCUGUUGGCCAGAUUCAUAGCAUUCAUUGUAUGAGUAUAAUUGGAACAUUUACUCUAAUGUAGAUGCAGAUGCAUCUGCAAUUAGAUGUGCAAGGACGCUGCCAGCUAACUAGCUGCACGACUUUGAGCGAAUUACUGGGUCAGAACUUGUAUCUACCCAUCUCAGAAACAGAAAUAGUGGGAUCCGCGUUGUCUAGUUGUUAUGAAGAGUCAAAAUAUCUUUGGUAACUCACCUAGCAUAGUAUCUGACACUAUUAGGUGAAUACUAAAUAUUAGCUAUCAUUGUCUCCCCACUUGAGCUAUGUAAACUAAUAGGACCUUUAGGAGAAUAUACUAUUAAUAGAAUCUUGGAGAUAGAGGAAAGGUAGAAACCCCUUGCUAGUUUGUUACAAGGUCUCCCCUUCUCCAUGCUCUCCCCUGACCCCCAUGCUAUUUCAACUGGGGGGAUGGGCAGGAACCAUUGAGAAACACUAGGGCAAAAAACAUGUUCAUGAAUAAUAGGGGAAGGAAAGGAACUUGGGUAUAGAAAACUAGAGGCAAAAGGUGAGGCAAGACCAACCAUAUAAUUUGGUACUUGAGACUCAAGUGAACUUAUUUUGUGUGUGUUACAUUAUAACAAUUUUUGAAUAAAAUAGGACAUAUCGGUUAACGUGAGUUUGAAGAUUUUACAAAUAAUAGUUCCCAUUUAUUAAGCACUUCGAAUGUGCCGUAUGCGCAUAAACACUUUAUAUGCAAUGUCUCAUUUAAUCUUAAGGACAGCCCCAAAGUAUCCCCAACUUUAUGGAUGAAGAUACCCACGCUUGGAAAUACUAAGUAAGUUGGUCAAGGUCUCACAACCUGGAAGUGGUCAAGCAGGGGUUCAAAUCCAAGAGCAUCUGACUCCCCACACUGUUCUGUACUGAGCUUUGUAUGGUGAAAAAUGGGGUUCCUCAGCUUUAAGUCAGUGUGUGUUUACAAAAAUUGCUUGGGUGGGGCCGGAGGAGGAGGCUUCCAUUGAGACUUUUCCUAUGUAACUAUCAGCCGUCUGACUUGCAAAAGGACUCAACCAAAAUUUUACAAAGCAAAUACUGCAAACCUCAUUAUGGUCUUUGCUCCAAGCUUUGUAGAAUAUUUUAGAUUCAUUUUAAGAGAUUUAUGCAGCAAGGCAUUCUGAAAGGCACAUUUUCAAUAUUAGUUAUAUUUAGCUACUUUUUAUACCCUAGAGACCCAAGAUUCACAUUGCAAAACACAUGCAAGGUAUCCAGAUGUACAAAGUAAUCAACAAAUUAAGAUCACAAGAGAACUUUGGCAGUUCAGCAAACCAAAAUAAACUGCACUGUUGUAACUACCACUUACUGGUUGAUUACCUUCUUUGUACCUAGCAUUUUACACAUACCUCUGAUCUCCACAAUCCUGUGAGGGAACUCUUAGUGCUCCAUUUUUAUAGAUGAAGAUACUGAAGUUUAGAGAGUGCAUGUAAUUUGCUCAUUACCAUGUGUCCAGUAAGUGGGUAAAAGCAGAUUAGAAUACAGGUCUGCCUCCAAAUCGACUCCAAAAUCUGUCUUCUCCACAAGUAUUGCCUUGGGAGGUGUUCAUUUUACUUCUAAUAAUGUCAAUCUUUGGAAGUAAUCCUAUAGAAAACACCCUAGAGUAAAUAAUAAAUUAUCCCCCCACCCGGGGGGAGCUUAGAAAUAAAUGAGGAUAUUUUAAGAAUAAAAUAGUAAAAAUUUAAUAUGUGAAUACACACAUUAAAGGCAUCAGGCUGUUUCCACCAGUAAAGUUUUGCUUCAUUAGUGUAGGAAGUCUUUAUUAUCCCAGUGUGAUUAGUACUCCUCAAAGUAAAUCUACUUAAAGCUGGGACCAAAUUUCAGACCAAUCAGUGAAGAAAGCUUUGCUUAAGACUUUAUUUGAAAAUAAAACUAAAUGUUAUUAAAAUACAUUCAUUCUGUCCUAUAUGGGCAUACCUCAUUUUAUUGUACAUAGCUUUAUUAUGCCUUGCAGAUACUGCUUUUUUAUACAAAUCGAAGGUUUGUGGCAACCCUGCUUGGAACAAGUCUUAUCAGCACAAUUUUCCCAACAACAUGUACCCACUUUAUGUCUCUGUGUAACAUUUUGGUAAUCCUCACAAUAGUUCAAACUUUUUUUGUUAUUAUAUCUGAUAUGGUGAUCUGUGAUCAGUUAUUUCGGUUUUACCAUUGUAAUUGUUUUAAGGCACCAUGAACUGUGCCCAAAUAAGACAUAGAACUUAACUAGUGUGUGUGUGCGUGCUAAUUACUCCACCGACUGGCUCUUCCCCUCCUCUCCUCAGGCCUCCCUAUUCGUUAAGACACAACAAUAAUGAAAUUAGGCCAGUUAAUAUCCCCACUAUGGCCUCUAAGUGUGCAAGUGAAAGGAAGAGUGACAUAUCUCUUUAAAUCAAAAUCUAGACAUAAGCUUAGUGAAGAAGGUAUAUCAAACACCGAGAUAGACCAAAAGCUAGGCCUUUACACCAAACAGUUGGCCACUCUGUGAAUGGAAAGAAAAAGUUAUUGAAGGAAAUUAAAAAUGCUACUCCAAUAAACACACAGAUGAUAAGAAAGCAAAACAGCUUUAUUGCUGAUAUGGAGAACGUUUUAGUGGUGUGGAUGGAAGAUCAAACCAGCAACAACAUUCUUUUAAGCUAAAACCUAAUCCAGAGCAAAACCCUGACUCUCUUCAAUAUUACGAAGGAUGAGAGAGGUGAGGAAGUUGCAGAAGAAAAGUUGGAAGAUAGCAGAGGUCGAUUUAUGAGGUUUAAGGGAAAAAGUCAUCUCCAUGACAUUAAAGUACAAGGGAAGGAGCAAGUAGUAAUGUAGAAGAUGCAGCAAAUUAUCCAAAAGACUGAGCUAAAAUCAUUGAUAAGGGUAGAUGAUGCAGCCUUCCAUUGAAAGAAGAUGCUCUCUAGGACUUUCAUAGCUAGAGGAAGAAAGCAAUGUCUGGCUUCAAAACUUCAAAGGACAGGUUGAUUCUCUUGUUAGGAUCUAAUGCACCUGGUUCCUUUAACUUGAAGGCAAUGCUCAUUUACCAUUUUGAAAGUUGUAGGGCCCUUAAGAAUUAUACUACAUCUACUCUACCUGUGUUCUAUAAAUAGAAGAACAAAGCACAUCUGUUUAUAUGAUGGUUUACUAAUAUUUUAAGCUCACUGUUGAGACCUACUCUUUAGGAAAAAAGAUUCCUUUCAAAAUGUUACUGCUCAUUGACAAUGCACCUGGCCAUCCAAGAGUUCUAAUGGAGAUAUAUAAGGAGUUGUACAUGUUGUUGUCAUGCCUAGCUAACACAACAUCCAUUAUGCAGCCUGUGGAUCAAGGAAUAAUUUCAGCUUUUAAAUCUUAUUAUUAAGGAAAUACAUUUCAUAAGACUAUAAUUGCCAUAGAUAGUGAUUUUCUGAUGGAUCUGGGCAAAGUAAAUUAACAACCUUCUGAAAAGAAUUCACCAUACUAGAUGCUAUUGAGAACAUUUGUGAUUCAUUUGUGGAAGAGGUCAGAAUAUCAACAUUAACAGGAGUUUAGAAGAAGUUGAUCCCAACCCUUCUGGGUGACUUUGAGGGGUUCAAGACUUCAGUGGAGAAAGUAACUGCAGAUCGGGUGAGAAUAGCAAAAGAACUAGAAGUAGAGCCCAAAGAGGUGACAAAAAUGCUGCAAUCUCAUGAUAAAAAUUACAUGAAUGAGGAGUUGCUUCUUACGGAUUAGCAAAGAAAGUUCUUUUCUGAGAUGGAAUCUACUUCUGGUGAAGAUGCUAUGAACAUUGUUGAAAUAACAAACUACUUAGAAUAUUAUUAUACAUAAAAUGAGUUGAUAAGGUAAUCACAGGGUUUGAGAGGAUUGACUCUAAUUUUGAAAGAAGCUGUACUUUUGGUAACAUGCUAUCAAACAGCAUUGCAUGCUACAGAGAAACCUGUCAUGAAAGGAAGCAUCAGUGUGACCAAAUUUAUUGUUGUCUUUUUCUAAGAAAUUGCCACAGCCCCUCCAGCCUUCAGCAACCCACUCUGAUCAGUCAGCAGCCAUUGACAUUGAGGAAAGACCUUCUACCAGGAAAAAGAUUAUGACUUGCUGAAGGCUCAGAUGAUAGUUACCAAUUUUUAGUAGCAAAAUAUUUUAAAAUUAAGGAAAAAAUGAACUGGUUACAACCACAGGAGCCUGGUCACCGCGGCAGUACUAUUGCUAUUGUCAAUGCAAACAUCCAAAGACAUUUUAGUUAAUAUGUGUGUUUUUUGUGAGUUUAAUUAGCAUGGGUCUGACUUCCUAGGUUUGUUUAAUUUUAAGACACUAACAUAUUGAGAUUUCUAGACAUGAUAUACUUUAAAAAAUGGUCUCGGUGAAUUAACCAAGAACUCUUAUUAUCUUCUUCAGAAGACAUCCCAAUCUUGCCACUAGCUUUUAGAAUUCUGUGGGCAUAUUACAGUUUAACAAAACAUUUAUUUUUAAAUAAAAUGCCAAAGCCAACCCUGAAUGUUACAUCUUACAUUGCAAGGGGUCAUACAAAAUGGAUAAAAGAGGGACCUGGUAGAUUGUGAGUUAUGGGCGUGUGACCCAGGAGACAAUUUGCUGCUUCCUUCUAACUCAGGUGAUCUAUUGCUUAACAAAAAUUCACCUACCAUCAUGAUAAAGGUAAGGAAUUCACAAGUCCAGCAAAAGUUCACUGUCAAGAAUGCUCUGUCCAACCUUAGAAUGUUGGACUUUGAAUGUCAUUAUGACCUGUGUUACAGGAUUCCUGUGGAGAUAAAUAUUAGUAGUCACUUUUCUAGCUUGAGCUGUCAGCACCUAAAGUGUCAGUAUCCUCUAUGAAGAACAAAAUCAUCAUUUGAAUUCAAUCAGUCAUUCAACAUAUAUUAUGUAAACCAGUCAUUUAACAUAUAUUAUGCAAAGGACUUAGGUUGAAAAUAAAAUGGUAAACACAGACAUAUUACCAAUAUCAAUUUCUGAGAGAGUAGUACUGUGUCUCAGAAGUUAGAAAAGGCAUUUGAAGUGUCUAGUCCAACCUUCAUCAGAUCUACUGCUUCCCUUUGCAACACUGCUUUUCAGGAGAUGCCCAGUUCCUCCAAUGGUAGGGAGAUCCCAGCAAGCACUAGGAUAAGCUGCUAUGAUUGAACCUGAUUGGAUGAUUUUCCCCAUCUAAGAAUAGCAUCACAAGCUAUUCAGGGGUCUCUGGACAAAGAUUUUGGAAAAGAAGCCAGUAGGAAAUGAGAAAAAAAUUUAAAAAAUAGUAAAAAGAAUUAAUUUUGCUGUGCAAUGACGCAAAUGCCCAGAUAGUUGUGAAGCCAGUGAGAAAUCAAGUUGCUAAUGUUUUAGAGAUUCUUAGCUUUUGUGGCAUGUGAGGCACAAUUUGUAAGAGUGUUGUGUUUCAACCUAAGCAUUUUUUGUUGUGACAUGUUGAAUACAACAGUGUAAUUAUUAAUAUGUUAAAUAUCACUCUCAAUGUUUUAUCAGAAUAUUAUCAUUUUUCUUUUAAAAGUGCCAUUUCCAAAGGGCUUGGUAUGCAGUUAAUGGGAUUUAACAGCAGAAUGCAUCUUGGAUUUUGUAAUGGAAAUCAAUGGGAGAAUAAGAUUGAUUUGAUGGAAAGUCUCUGUACUGCAAACUUUGCUGACAAUGACCAUUCCUUUAAGUGAGAGAUACCUAUUCCACAAGUGCUCAAUGAUGAGUUUUUAUGUAUAUGAUAGAUCUAGAUAGUUUGGAAAAUUAAUAAUGUCAGAAGCAGGUUUUGUUUUGUUUUGCUUUUUUUCUGACUAGUCUCUCAUUUGAAUCUGACUAAAUUUCCUUUACCAGAAGGAUGCUUACUUGAGUGCUUUGAAAACUCAGCUGAGUCAUAGUUUUUAAUGCUGGUCCCUGCUCUUCUCAGGAGUAAGUUAUCACAUGCUUUAAAAUCCUCCAUUUGGGCCGGCCGCGGUGGCUCACGCCUGUAGUCCCAGCACUUUGGGAGGCCGAGGCAGGCAGAUCACGAGAUCAGGAGAUCGAGACCAUCCUGGCUGACACGGUGAAAC
rnacentral:lncRNA from 1 species